rnacentral:tRNA from 4 species
GGAGAGGUUCCCGAGUGGCCAAAGGGAUCGGAUUGUAAAUCCGCUGACUCAGUCUUCGAAGGUUCGAAUCCUUCCCUCUCCACCA